AAUACCGGAUAAUGACGUAAGUCCCAAAGAUUUAUCGCCGAAGGAUGAGCCCGCGUAGGAUUAGCUUGUUGGUGGGGUAAUGGCCUACCAAGCCGACGAUCCAUAGCUGGUUUGAGAGGAUGAUCAGCCACACUGGGACUGAGACACGGCCCAGACUCCUACGGGAGGCAGCAGUGGGGAAUCUUAGACAAUGGGGGAAACCCUGAUCUAGCCAUGCCGCGUGAUCGAUGAAGGCCUUAGGGUUGUAAAGAUCUUUCAGGUGGGAAGAUAAUGACUGUACCACCAGAAGAAGCCCCGGCUAACUCCGUG
rnacentral:rRNA from 1 species